CUGGGCUGGGAACAGUAUGUUCAGACAGAGCCAGGAGAAUUCAUCGCUGUGAAGUUACAGGCCUUAGUCUGAGGCUGCUCUCCAGCUUGGCGCCUGACAGAGAAAAUUGGCUUUAGGUCAGAACCCUGGUGUAAUGAAAAGGCACGCUGGAGGGAGACCUAAACCCAAGGGCGGUCCUUCAAUGCCAGGAAACUGCCAGACUUCGGGUUGGUCACUCAUCUCUCUGGGACACUGUCCCUAUGAGUGUGAAGUGAAGGUAGUAGGGGCAGCCCCAUUUCUCUGAAAUAUUGAUAAGGACAAAAUGUGUGUGGAAGCAAAACUGUAAAGUGACAAGGCUUGUGAUCAACUCUGACAGUUGUGCCUAUGCCUGUCCAGGACCUAGGAUGAAAGCAAGGGCUGGAGAACUUUAGCACAAGAUAAAGGCAGAGAGAAUCUGGACAUCCAGCUCCAUAAAAAGGGAGGGUAAAUAACUCAGAAGACUCUGAAGAGAGAAACCUGCUCUGAAUCUUUAUAUAGAGAUGCUCUAGGAAAUGGUCCUCUUUAGGAAUCUCUGACCCUGAUGUCCACCACUGGGCCCUUGCAACAUCAUCCAUGAUGCUGUCUCUUCUCUCCAAUGCUUCUGGCUGUGGGUCAUGGACCAGAGCACACAGAUAUUUUUAUGUCAUUGUAAUGGAUUAAUGAUGGCUCAAAAUCAAAUCUUUGCAGAAUAUCAAAGAUUCACAUCAGAGACACAAGGGUGAAAGUUCCCUUCCUUGAAAUAUAGAGCUUUAGGUUUUUGGUUUGGGGUUAUAUUUUUAAUGUUGAAUAUAUUCAUCAUAUUCUUUUAACCUAAGAAUCCAAAAUAAAAUCCACAUGGUGCCAAAGUAUGAAAGCCUUCAAAGAACAGAGAACAACUUUGGAAGCAAUAAAAUAUAUUUUUAAAAAUUUG
rnacentral:lncRNA from 1 species